UGGUUAGUGGCAGACGGGUGAGUAAUGCAUAGGAAUCUGCCUAGUAGUAAGGGAUAGCCACUAGAAAUGGUGGGUAAUACUGUAUAAGCCCUGCGGGGGAAAGAUUUAUCGCUACUAGAUGAGCCUAUGUUAGAUUAGCUAGUUGGUAGGGUAAAGGCCUACCAAGGCAGUGAUCUAUAGCUGGUCUGAGAGGAUGAUCAGCCACACUGGAACUGAGAUACGGUCCAGACUCCUACGGGAGGCAGCAGUGGGGAAUAUUGGACAAUGGGCGCAAGCCUGAUCCAGCUAUGCCGCGUGAGUGAGGAAGGCCUUAGGGUUGUAAAACUCUUUCAGUGGGGAAGAUAAUGACGGUACCCACAGAAGAAGUCCCGGCAAACUC
rnacentral:rRNA from 1 species